rnacentral:lncRNA from 1 species
AUGGAACUGUACAGGCUGAUGACUGGGUGGAUGGAACUGUACAGGCUGACUGGGUGGAUGGAACUGUACAGGCUGACUGGGUGGAUGGAACUGUACAGGCUGAUGACUGGGUGGAUGGAACUGUACAGGCUGAUGACUGGGUGGAUGGAACUGUACAGGGUGGAUGGAACUGUACAGGGUGGAUGGAACUGUACAGGGUGGAUGACUGGGUGGAUGGAACUGUACAGGCUGAUGACUGGGUGGAUGGAACUGUACAGGGUGGAUGGAACUGUACAGGGUGGAUGGAACUGUACAGGGUGGAUGGAACUGUACAGGAUGACUGGGUGGAUGGAACUGUACAGGCUGAUGACUGGGUGGAUGGAACUGUACAGGGUGGAUGACUGGGUGGAUGGAACUGUACAGGGUGGAUGGAACUGUACAGGGUGGAUGACUGGGUGGAUGGAACUGUACAGGGUGGUGACUGGGUGGAUGGAACUGUACAGGGUGAUGACUGGGUGGAUGGAACUGUACAGGGUGGAUGGAACUGUACAAGGUGAUGACUGGGUGGAUGGAACUGAUGGUCUACCUCUCUCAUUCACUCUACAUGCCACCACGUCAUUGGGUGGUUCUGACAAACUUGAACUGUGGGAAGACAAAAUAAAGGCUUUAUUCUUAAAUGAAAUGUGUCUUUGUCAAU